GACGUAGGGCGCGAGCGUUGUCCGGAUUUAUUGGGCGUAAAGAGCUCGUAGGCGGUCUGUCGCGUCGGCUGUGAAAACCCGGAGCUCAACUCCGGGCCUGCAGUCGAUACGGGCAGACUGGAGUUCGGCAGGGGAGACUGGAAUUCCUGGUGUAGCGGUGAAAUGCGCAGAUAUCAGGAAGAACACCCGUGGCGAAGGCGGCUCUCUGGGCAGUAACUGACGCUGAGGAGCGAAAGCGUGGGGAGCGAACAGG
rnacentral:rRNA from 1 species